UACGUAGGCAGCAAGCGUUGUUCGGAGUUACUGGGCGUAAAGGGUGCGUAGGCUGCUUUUUAAGUCGGGGGUGAAAUCCUGGAGCUCAACUCCAGAACUGCCUUCGAUACUGGAAGACUUGAGUCCGGGAGAGGUGAGUGGAACUGCGAGUGUAGAGGUGAAAUUCGUAGAUAUUCGCAAGAACACCAGUGGCGAAGGCGGCUCACUGGCCCGAUACUGACGCUGAGGCACGAAAGCGUGGGGAGCAAACAGG
rnacentral:rRNA from 1 species